rnacentral:rRNA from 1 species
UACGUAGGGUGCAAGCGUUAAUCGGAAUUACUGGGCGUAAAGCGUGCGCAGGCGGUUAUGCAAGACAGAGGUGAAAUCCCCGGGCUCAACCUGGGAACUGCAUUUGUGACUGCAUGGCUAGAGUGCGGCAGAGGGGGAUGGAAUUCCGCGUGUAGCAGUGAAAUGCGUAGAGAUGCGGAGGAACACCGAUGGCGAAGGCAGCCCCCUGGGCUAGCACUGACGCUCAGGCACGAAAGCGUGGGGAGCAAACAGG